rnacentral:miRNA from 1 species
CAGCUGUUCCAUCUUAAUCAU